rnacentral:tRNA from 1 species
CAGGGAGACAACAAAAUGUUUAAUAUUAUUAUUUUGUCACCUUAGGUCGAUCGGUAUCUCACGUUCUCAAUUUAUUGAGAAUUUCAUUCCUAAGUUUUUCUAGGUCACACCCAUUACUUUUCCUGGGCCAUUAGCUCAGGUGGUUAGAGCGCACCCCUGAUAAGGGUGAGGUCCCUGGUUCAAGUCCAGGAUGGCCCAUAUCUCUAUGUUGGGGGUAUAGCUCAGUUGGUAGAGCGCCUGCUUUGCAAGCAGGAUGUCAGCGGUUCGAGUCCGCUUACCUCCACUGAUUACCACCUCUUACAUAAUUUUUGAGGAGGAAAUGUUUUGAGUAGUGAUCAAAUUCUGAACGAACCUAGCUUCCUAAUGAAAUCAUUAAGAUGCUGGACUCAUUGAACUAAGUUCAUUGUUUUCAGAGAACCUUGACAACUGCAUAGAUUAUUUUUAAAGACAAUAAGCAUCUUUAAUGAUGCAGAUUUAUUAUUUGUGCAAAUGCAUUAAUAACAAUUCUAUUAAGCUGAUGCUUCAAUUAUGAAGUUAUU